UACGUAGGGGGCAAGCGUUGUCCGGAUUUAUUGGGCGUAAAGAGCGUGUAGGCGGCCAUACAGGUCAGCUGUGAAAACUCGAGGCUCAACCUCGAGACGUCGGUUGAAACCGUAUGGCUAGAGUCCGGAAGAGGAGAGUGGAAUUCCCGGUGUAGCGGUGAAAUGCGCAGAUAUCGGGAAGAACACCCGUGGCGAAGGCGGCUCUCUGGGACGGUACUGACGCUGAGACGCGAAAGCGUGGG
rnacentral:rRNA from 1 species